rnacentral:rRNA from 1 species
CCUGGUGGUUAUAGCGUAGUUGAAACACUCGAUCCCAUUCCGAACUCGGAAGUGAAACACUACAGCGCCGAUGGUACUUUGCCCUGAGGCACGGGAGAGUAGGUCGCUGCCAGGC